rnacentral:lncRNA from 1 species
CACCUCUCAAAUAAAUAAAUAAAAUAUUAAAAAAAAUAUAUUAGCAGUGGUGGCAUUGCUAGUUGGCCUGUCGCUGGCUGAGAUGUCCACACUCCACAUCGGAGGUCCUGGAUGCAUUUCCUGCUCUGGCUCCUGACUCCAGCACACUGUUAAUGCAGCCCCGCCCCCCGGGGGAGGGGCAGCUGUGGCGGCUCAAGAAGUAGGGCUUCUGCCACCUCCAUGGGACACCUGGAUGAACUCCCGGCUCCUGGAUUUGGCCAAGCCUAAUCCCAUUCUGUUUACUAUGGGCAUUUGGGGAGUGUACAGGAGUGUGUAGUCUCUCUCUCCCUCUCUCUCUCUCUUCUCUCUUUCUUCUUCUUGUAUAAUAAUUUGUCUUUAAAAGCUGAAAAUGAAAAGCUACUGGGUACCUCCUGGGUCGGGUCUUUUGCACACGUGGGUGUAUUCCAUCCCGGCAGAACCUCUGAGGCCUUCGCCGAGACCCCCGCUCUCCAGGCGAGCAAAUGCAGGCUCAGAGGACGCGCCACCUGCCGCUGGGCAGCCCCGGACACCAGGCCAGCCCUGCUCCCUGUCCCGUCUCCAUCUGCCUUGUUGCGCCUGGGGCCUGUUUGGUUCUGGCCUGGCUUCUCAGCCUUGGCCUUGUCCGGUCCUGGCCCCGCCCCUCCCUGUCUGAACACAGCAAGGUGGGAUUUCCUCCAGGGACCUCGCAAUCAAGGCCGCCGGCUUGCCGGGCUGCAGCCCAAGGCCUGCUAUAAACUCUGCCAUGAAUGGCCGCCAUUCUCUGCCCCAACUCCAGCUCCAGCUCACCGCCGCCCCGCAGCCCGGGAAGGGAGACCUCAGCCUCCUCCAGGCCUGUAAACACCAGAGCCACACACACAGCGAGGCCACAGCCGCCAAUGAAUCCUGGCCCCAGGGUUCUCUUAAAGGAGCAGAGCCCAGUGGCGACAAGGGGCCAGGGCCUGCAUGGAGAGCAGCAGCGGGACUCACAACCCUCUCCCCAGGCUCCCAGCAGGAAGGAGGAUGAAGCCACGCCCACCCCAGGAGCGUCUCCAGGAGCACCAGAAAGAAGAGGAAAAAAAAUGCCACUUGGACUCAAAAAGACGUUGUUGCUGCCAAACACAUGAUUUUUGCACAUGGUGAGGACGUGUGAUUUUUACAUAUGUAUUUUUUUCCCUUUUAGUAAAAACAGUUUCAGUCCUGGCAAGAAGGUUAAAGAAAGGGAGUAUAAAAAGAUUGUCACAGAAAACCAUUACUCUGCUAUUACAGAGACCAAAAGCCAGGAGUUAUGAAAGGAGAGAGAGGAAAAAUGGUGACCAGAAUUUAAAGAACAAGAACUUGAUUUGGGGGCUGAUUUCCACGGGUCCAUUCUAAAGCAUUUCCAGUCUUCAAAAGUAUC